GACGAACCGUGCAAACGUUGUUCGGAAUCACUGGGCUUAAAGGGCGCGUAGGCGGGCUCCCAAGUCGGUGGUGAAAUCUUUCGGCCCAACCGGAAAAGUGCCGCCGAUACUGGGAGUCUCGAGGGAGGUAGGGGUCGAGGGAACUCUAGGUGGAGCGGUGAAAUGCGUAGAUAUCAGGAGGAACACCGGUGGCGAAGGCGGGUCUCUGGGCAACUACUGACGCUGAGGAGCGAAAGCGUGGGGAGCGAACAGG
rnacentral:rRNA from 1 species